GGCGAUGCGCUCCUGGCCUUAACUGGCCGGGUCGUGCCUCCGGCACUGUUACUUUGAAGAAAUUAGAGUGCUCAAAGCAAGCCUACGCUCUGGAUACAUUAGCAUGGAAUAAUGAAAUAGGACGUUCGAUCCUAUUUUGUUGGUUUCUAGGAUUGACGUAAUGAUUAAUAGGGAUAGUUGGGGGCAUUAGUAUUCAAUUGUCAGAGGUGAAAUUCUUGGAUUUAUUGAAGACUAACUACUGCGAAAGCAUUUGCCAAGGAUGUUUUCAUUAAUCAAGAACGAAAGUUAGGGGAUCGAAGACGAUCAGAUACCGUCGUAGUCUUAACCAUAAACUAUGCCGACUAGGGAUCGGACGGGAUUCUUUUUGACCCGUUCGGCGCCUUACGGGAAAC
rnacentral:rRNA from 2 species